rnacentral:misc_RNA from 1 species
GUAGGUGAACCUGCGGAAGGAUCAUUAUCGAAUUAUAAGGCUCUGGCUGUGCUGGCCCCUCGGGGCAUGUGCACGUCUCUGCCCGUUAAUCCCAACCAACCCCUGUGAACCAACCGUGGGGCGCUCUGUCAUGGAGCCGUCCCAUGUCUUAUCAUAAACACUGUAUGUCUUCAGAAUGUAAAAUCUAUAUCCUCGCCCUAAAAAAGCGUUGGUAAAAAAUUAAUACAACUUUCAACAACGGAUCUCUUGGCUCUC